rnacentral:rRNA from 1 species
UACGGGAGGCAGCAGUGGGGAAUAUUGGACAAUGGGCGAAAGCCUGAUCCAGCAAUGCCGCGUGAGUGAUGAAGGCCUUAGGGUUGUAAAGCUCUUUUACCCGGGAUGAUAAUGACAGUACCGGGAGAAUAAGCUCCGGCUAACUUA